GACUAUGUCGAAUAAAAUUCUAGGUAUAGUUAUGAUAAUGACAUUUUAUGCCUAUGUGUCUUGACCAAAUUACGUGCCAGCAGUCGCGGUAAUACGUAGAAGACUAGUGUUAUUCAUCUUUAAUUGGUUUAAAGGGUACUUAGACGGUAAAUCAAGCCUUAAAACAAGGGACUAUUUUACUAGAGUUACAUGUGAGGGGGCUAUCAGGUACUGACGGUGGAGAGAUGAAAUUCUGUCAUUCCUUUGAAGGCACAGGUAUAGGCGAAAGCAUCCCAUUAUGUGAUAACUGACGUUGAGGGACGAAGGCUUUUGUAGCGAACAGGAUUAGUUACCCCAGUAGUCCAAGCAGAAAAUGAUGAAUGUCAUAGAUUAGAUAAAAAUAUUUAGUCUAUAAAUGAAAGUGUAAGCAUUCCACCUCAAGAGUAAUUUGGCAACAUUGGAACUGAAAUCAUUAGACCGUUUCUGAAACCAGUAGUGAAGUAUGUUGUUUAAUUUGAUAAUCCGCAAAAAACCUUACCACAAUUUGAAUAUUUAUAUUUUAAUAUAUUUACAAGCGUUGCACGGCUGUCUUCAGUUAAUGUCGUGAGACUUUGGUUAGUUCCAUUAAAUUAACGUAAACCCUUACUUUAUUUUUUAUAUAAAGUGGUUCCCCGCUAUAUUGGAUAUGAUAACAGGGACUAGGACAAGUC
rnacentral:rRNA from 1 species